UACUACUAUUACUACUAUUAUUAUUAACCCCACAAAUAAUGUACCGAGUGCUUAAUGUGAGGCCAGACCUGGGUACUCAGUGAUUCACAACUUGCCCCAUCCCUGAGCCUGGGGAGCCUCCCAUCCAGUAGCGGAGACAAACAAAACACAAGGAAAUAGUCAGAAGUGCCCUGAAAGAAAUAAGACAAGGACCUCCUGAGACAGGGUGGUGAAGGACAGCUUCUCCCAGAAGGGGACAUUUACUCUGAAAUGGAAGCAAGGGGUGCAAAGGACAGUACUCGAGGCAGACUUCCUCAACACCAGUCCCAAGCUGAGUGUCUAAGUACCUGGCAUUUAUACUCUGGCCCCAGAAGGAUCCCCUGAUCUUCUCAACCCCAUGAAGAAGAGAGAGAAGAUAAUGGGAGUAUUCGCAUCUUCAGAUGAGGAAAAUGAAGCUCCAGGAUAUUAUGCAUGGCUUGCCCAAAGUCAGUGGUUUUCAAAACCACGACACAUGUGAGAAAUCACGUGGCCCAGUACCUACGGUAACGAAGAGUCGGAGCUGAGAGGCCCAGGUCCUUUCUGGCAAUGGCCCCCUGGCCAAGCUGUCAGCAGAGCCACACCACAGACUCUGCCCACAGGGAAAGACUGAUCCAGGCCCCCCUUCUUCUUCAGCCCCCGAGGCACUUGGAGCCCGACACUGAGGCCAGAGUGUAUACUCACCAGCAACAAGGCUUCCAGCUGGUUAAUGUAGAUCUCCUCGCUGGCCAGGAACCCCGAGAGAACCAGCUUCCUCAUCUCCAGGCCCUUCCCUGCCUCCACCUGUAUGAGAGCAAACCGAGAGCUCAGGAGAAAGCAGGCUAGGAUCCCGAGGGACCUGUUUUCUUGCCUUUUUCCUCCUCUUUAACCAACACUUCUGUAGAGAAUAAAAGCCAAGUAGAUUUGCUAUAACAACUUGGAAAUUAUAGAAUAAAAAAGGAAAAACAAUCA